UUCUGAAGUGUUGUUCAAUGUCCUGUUAAUUUAACUUGGGAACAUCGAAAGGCGCCAGGAUCUAGCAAUGAAUACGAAGUUUCACUGUAUUCAUUUGCCUCUCAGCCUAAAAUC
ensembl:snoRNA